ACCUCAUGCUGGUCCUUCCCACUCUCUGCUUUUGUGUGCAAAAUUUAGGGGGAAAGAGUCCUUCUAGGUGAGACAUGUUGUUCUUGAAGCUGUGUCUGUGGGGAGUUUUGAGCUGAGCCCAUCUACUGGUCUGAGAUUCAUGGGGAGUGUCAGCCUUUCUGCAAACCUACACAGCUCUCCCAGACUGUUGCUUUAGUUGUUCUCUGUGUGUCUUUCCCCACGGAAACAGGAAUUAAAAAUGCGUGCCAGCUCCUAGGGGGAUACUGCACUUUUUGGAAGUGCAAGUCCGGUACAAGAUUUAUUGGACACUGUUCAGCAUUCACCAUUUGCUGUGAACGUGUGCGGGGUUGAGACCCUGAAAUGUCCCAGCAGGAUGUCCCCCUCGCUUCUGGCUCCUGGAACCAUCUCCUGAGGUCUUCUCCCCUCCCUGCCUCUGCCAUGCCCAGCUGCUGGGACAACAGCAGCGGCAGCUGCUCCUGCUGGGUGCUGCUGGGCUGGAGACAUCUCGUCCCAGCCGUGGGGUCUGUGGGGCAGAGGCUGCUUUUCCCAGCUUGAAUAAAGAUGAGCAGUUUGGCAUUGCA